rnacentral:rRNA from 1 species
UACGUAGGUGGCAAGCGUUGUCCGGAAUUAUUGGGCGUAAAGCGCGCGCAGGCGGUCCUUUAAGUCUGAUGUGAAAGCCCACGGCUCAACCGUGGAAGGUCAUUGGAAACUGGGGACUUGAGUACAGAAGAGGAAAGCGGAAUUCCAAGUGUAGCGGUGAAAUGCGUAGAGAUUUGGAGGAACACCAGUGGCGAAGGCGGCUUUCUGGUCUGUAACUGACGCUGAGGCGCGAAAGCGUGGGGAGCAAACAGG